GUAAAAAUGAAGUCUGUGGACCAGGCGCCAAAGGCUCCAUGGAAUGAAGCAGAUUCCACAAGACAAGCUAAUUCUAUUCAGAAGGCAGUAUAGCCAGGGAAAUAAAAAGGAAGUUCACAAACUCAAAGGUAUUCUGCUGACACUCAACAGACAUUGUCUUCAAAAUGUACUCUCAAGUGGUCAGGAUCCUAUUCUCAUGGUACUAUUUCCUCGCUUAGAAAAUAAAGGAUGAAAUGAACUACACUAUUGGAGCUACUAUAAAGAUGAAAGAAGAUGAAAGUUUUCAGUAGGAUUGUUGCCAUGUAGUAAACCCCUUAUAAAUAGUAUGUAUAAUAAUUUGUCACAUGCUGUUAGGUUAAGCCAUCAACAACAAACAUGGCAAUAAUUCAAGUUCAAAAAUACAGACGGGUUUGAAUUAACAUUGCACAAUGAUUUGUUUGUGUUUUCUUGUUUUUCCAAAUUCAGUGUUAUAUUCUACUUUCAUAUUUUGUGAGCAUUUAUUAACUGAACGACUGCCACAUGCAUGGCAGUGUGCUAAAUAUUUGAGUGCAUUAUGAUUUCACCCAUUAUGGGGUUUAAAUCCAUCUGAAAAGUAAAGAUUAAGACCCAUGAAUCUGUGCAUAAUUCAAAUGAUACUUAUUCACGUGUAUUGUGUGGUAGAGAAAAUGAAUGUAUAGGAAAGAAAGAGAAUGAAAGUGAAUGAGGAGGAAAAUUAAAUACAGUCAGGAAAGGCUUGAUAAAGGACUUAAGAACUUGAAUAUGAUUGUGAAACAUAGUUAUAAUUUCUAAGAACAGCUGAGGAAAAAAGCUUAAUUUGUAUAGUUUAUGAAGGAAUGCAUAUGUUUGUGUUUCACAGAAUUUAGAGUUAAGAAUACACACACACACUACACAGAAACUCAGAAAACCUAUGCUACUUGCUCAGGUAAUUAAUUACUAGUCAAUGGUAAAGUUCAAACUGAUGUCUAGGUCUCCUGCUCCUGUUCCAGUACAUUUUUACCGCAAUACAUUGAGUGAGCAAGCUUUCAAAAGCUUCUUGAAUUAUUCAUAUGGAUAUGGAAAAUCCUAUCUUACAACAUAAGGC
rnacentral:lncRNA from 10 species